GUCCCCUGUGCCACCCAGCGGCCAGCGCUCCUGGCUCCACUUCCCUACUCUUUAUUUGCUCCCCUUAGUCUCCCUCCCCGUAGUUUCCACCUGUUUUCUUUCACCUGUCCUCCCAACUCUCACAGCUUCCCUAUCCCACUUUCCUCAAUGUAACUACAAGUCAGGUCUUGGAGCUGUGACUCAAGGUAAAAUCAAGGUCAUCAGUCACACCUAAAAAAGGGAGUGGAUCAAUUUUAAAUGGGACUCUCGUGGGAUUUUAAAAACACCACUAGGACAUUGUCGCCUGGCAGAGUCAGAUGGGUCAGUGCCAACAUCUGUUGGCGGUGGAUGUCGGGCAGGGAACCAGCUGCUUUGCAUGCCAGUGGUGUGCUCAUCUGUGGAAUGGGGUUGAGGUUAUCUGCUCUAUAUGGAUGUCUGAAUUACAUGGUACAACAUGAAAAUAGUAAACCCCAGCUCUCAGUAAACACUUCAAGUAUGUCCAAAAGGAAGACCUCUUCAAAUUAUUCAUCAUGAGGAUGUGCAGCUAUAGUGAUGGACCCCCAAAAUUUCAAUGAAUAAGCAUAAAAUUGGAAAAGAGUCUGAUGUUGGGAAAGAUUGAGGGCAGGAGGAGAAGGCAUCAUUGACUCAGUGGAUGUGAGUUUAAGCAAAGUCCAGGAGAUGGUGAAGAACAGGGAAACCUGGGGUGCUGCAGCCCAUGGCGUCGCAGAGUCGGACACAAAUGAGUGAACAACAACAAAGCAUAAAAUGACUUUGAAGUUUCCAAUAUGCUCAGUGACUUAGAAGAGAGUCUUGAUUGUGCUUGUUUAAAAUUACCACCAAGGGGAAAACAUCAUUGUGUCUCUUCUAGCACCCUCCUUGCUGUUCCAUGCAUCCCCUACCAUCCUGGACUAUACCUGCUUUCUUCCUGCUUCCUCAAUGACAAGCGGAAUGAAAAAUACAUCAUUGAGACCUCUUCUAUUACUGUGACAUAUUAUUUGUUAAAAAAUGGAUUCCCCCCUAGAAUGGUUUUCUUCCCUCAUGACCACGACCAUGAUCUGUUUACUCUUGAUGACACCAGUUUCCUUCUAAUGAAGGCAGCAGCUCUGGAAGCAAAGAAAAGCACUCAUCUCACCCCGGCCCCUCAUCACUCUCUUCCUCCAUACAGUUGACUGUGAGCUCUUCACACCUUCACUUUUCUGUUUUUCCGCAUCCUGUUUCCCUGGUUUGCUGAUCCUCAACAUCACCUUUACCUUGCUCACAGACUUCUUUUAGACCCCAUGUUUUGGGAUGUUAUCCUUCACAUUCAUGACACUUUCAACAAUUUUUUGCCUUACAACUUCUUGCUAUCUUCAAUGAGCUGAACCACACCUGAAUCACACCUGGACCACCUUAUUGCUUGGAAUUUCACUCCUCUGUUUUCUUGAAGGUUGACAUCUUCCAUCCAUCUAAGUCUUCUUUGUUUCUCAGUCCAUUGACCUCUGGCCUUUCACUCCCUCCUAACUCUCUCAUUUCUGGCUUCCCUAUCCAUCUCGUGCUUAUGGGAAGGUAUUUUAGAGAUGCUU